rnacentral:misc_RNA from 1 species
AAGUCGUAACAAGGUUUCCGUAGGUGAACCUGCGGAAGGAUCAUUACCAAAAAAAAUUUACAUCCAAUACCAACCCCUUUUUCUGUGAAUCUUCUGACCGUCUUUGGGAGAGACAAUCUCUAAAAAUUUAUUUUUAUUGCUUUUGUUUCUCCCAAUAUUUUUUCUCUACAAACACUUUAUUGUCGCUUUUUUUUUUUAAACCAAAAAAAAAGAAACAAAAGUAUUUAUUAUUAUUUUUUUUUUCUUCAAGAAAUAAAUUAUUUAAAAGUCUAAACAACUUUUAACGGUGGAUCUCUUGGCUCGU